CAGCCGGGCUGGGGUGGGGGGAGGGGCCGGGCUGAGGCGGCGGCGGCGGCUCGGCUGCUCGCUUGGGGAGGGCACGGCCGGCAAGGGCGGGACUGGCCCGCUGCGGGCGGACUGGGGAGCCGCGGAGAUAACGGGUCCAGACGCUGGCGGCGGCGGCGGCUUUCUCUGCACGGGCGGAGGCGGCAGCAGGAGCGGCGAGUAUGGCCCGCGCGGCGCUCGACGCUGACUGAGAGUCAUGCUGCGGCAGCCUGGCGCCUGACGAGUGAGGGGAACCUGCCAGGGGAUUACUGCUAGCUCAAGGCAGGACAGAGGCCUCCGGGGAGCGGAGAUGGGCAGAGCAGCCUCCAAGCCUGGGCCAGCAGCACCAAGACGGAGGCCUGAGCCCUGGCCUGGAGCUUGGCACACACUCGCUCGGCUGACCCUGAUGGCAUUUGAAGCAACACCCUGCUGAGAAGCGGCUGUUCCCAGGCCCCAGAGGACCUCAGAGCAGCAGCCGGAGUUUGACCACCCCUACACAACUGCAGUUGGGGCUGCGACCGUCGGGGGAAGGGGCUGGCGCCUCGGAUGGGAAGUAGAAGGGCAGAACCUAACGCCAGGAGGAUCUUGGUCUCUGAAGAGUUUUCUGGAACCCACAGAGCUUCCUGGGUUUCUUCUCUCUAGAUUGGGGCUUGGUUCCCUUUCCUCCCCUGGCAAAGGGGUUGGGCCCUGAGGGCCAACUGAGAGAGGGAAGACUCUUACAUGAGAUUCAGGCUGCUUGAAGCCCACGUGCUCUCUGCUGUGAUUGGGGUUCAAGGGCUUCCCUGCUGCAGGGGACGAGGGGCCGCCUCGGCAUCUGCUCAUGAGCCACAAGGACCCCGAAUGCUCCAGACUGGAUCGUUUCAAGCCGCCAAAGAGGGGGACCCCCAGAGCUGGCAGCCAGCAACCCCAAGGGACUAGAGGGCUGGGAUGGACUGACCUCCCCCUUGCCAGGGCUCCGGGAGAAGCAGAGCCUCUGUGGCCCAGCUAGUGACGGAGAGACCCAAUGAAGCCAUAAGCAGGGCCAGGCGGCUCAGGGACAGGGGAGCCACUGCUGCCGACGUGCUUUCUCCUGACGCUGAGGGAGGGCGUGGCGUGGGACUCCUGCCCCUGUCCCUUCCUUGGCACGUGCCCAUAUGCCCUUUGCACGUGGUGCCAGAACAAGCAGGCUACACUGUGGCUGGCCCAUCAGCGGGCUGGGAAAGGAGUGGCCACAGUGACACCCGCCUGACUGCCGGGCUGAGGCCCCAGAUCCCCGGGGCGCCGAACCAUGAAGUGCUCCCUGCGGGUGUGGUUCCUCUCCGUGGCCUUCCUGCUGGUGUUCAUCAUGUCACUGCUGUUCACCUACUCCCACCACAGCAUGGCCACCCUGCCCUACCUGGACUCGGGCGCCCUGGACGGGACCCACCGGGUGAAGCUGGUGCCCGGCUACACUGGCCUUCAGCGCCUCAGCAAGGAGGGGCCCGCCGGCAAGAGCUGUGCCUGUCGCCGCUGCAUGGGCGACGCUGGCGCCUCUGAGUGGUUUGAUAGCCACUUCAACAGCAACAUUUCCCCGGUCUGGACCCGAGAGAACAUGGACCUGCCCCCAGAGGUCCAGAGGUGGUGGAUGAUGUUGCAGCCCCAGUUCAAGUCACACAACACCAACGAGGUGCUGGAGAAGCUGUUCCAGAUAGUACCAGGCGAGAACCCCUACCGUUUCCGGGACCCUCGCCGGUGCCGGCGCUGUGCUGUGGUGGGGAACUCGGGCAACCUGCGGGGCUCUGGCUACGGGCCGGAUGUGGACGGGCACAACUUCAUCAUGAGGAUGAAUCAGGCGCCAACCGUGGGCUUUGAGCAGGAUGUCGGCAGCCGAACCACCCACCAUUUCAUGUACCCCGAGAGUGCCAAGAACCUGCCCGCCAAUGUCAGCUUCGUGCUGGUGCCCUUCAAAGCCCUGGACCUACUGUGGAUCGCCAGCGCCCUGUCCACGGGGCAGAUCCGAUUCACCUAUGCCCCAGUGAAGUCCUUCCUUCGAGUGGACAAAGAAAAGGUCCAGAUCUACAACCCAGCCUUCUUCAAGUACAUCCACGACAGGUGGACAGAGCAUCAUGGGCGGUACCCUUCCACUGGGAUGCUGGUACUCUUCUUUGCUCUGCAUGUGUGUGAUGAGGUGAACGUGUACGGGUUCGGGGCCGACAGCCGGGGCAACUGGCACCACUACUGGGAGAAUAACCGGUACGCGGGCGAGUUCCGGAAGACGGGCGUGCAUGACGCCGACUUCGAGGCCCACAUCAUCGACAUGCUGGCCAAGGCCAGCAAGAUCGAGGUCUACCGAGGGAACUGAGCCCGACCCAGCCGUGACUCUUACGGCCCUACCGCGAGGCGCCGGCAAGCGCUCCAGCCGGGACUCAGGGUCAGCCCGGGGUGGUGGCCUAAGCGCGGGCGCGGCGCCCUAUUGGGCGUCAGCAGGCAAUCGGGAGCGACGCCGCCGCAGUCUGGACCAAUCAUGCUGCAGUCUAGCGAGCGCCGGCUAUCCUCCGCCAAUCACGAGACUCUGGGCGCUGGCUGGGCCUGGCAUUAAUCAGCGCUGCCGCCGGCCGGAGCCUCUGUUUCUCCCAGCCAAUCAUGCGACUCAAGGAGAACUUCCGGCGCUGGGGCCCGUCUCCUCCAAUCAAUGGCCUUCGGAGGCGGGCCGGCGGCCGAUCAAUCCCCACUCCCGUAUGCUUUUGGGUAGGAAUUAUCGAGAUUUCACGCUUUCAAAGGAGCAGAAGUUCCGGCCUCGAGAAGUACUUUCUUCAGGCUCGGCAGGAGGCGUCUCAGUCGCCGGCCGGCCUGACCCCGCAGGGGGCGCGGAGGAGGAAACGGUGGGGAAGGUGCGGGACAGUAGCGGCCCGGUCUCCCCUUCCCGGGGGUCCCUCAUGGCCUCGGGGCGGGCGGAGGGGCGUUCGCGGAGGCUUGCGGGUGGUCGGCGGGUGGUCAGGUGGUUUCCAAGGAGCCCGUUUUUCCCCAGGGGAAAAGUUAGAGCCCUCCCAAACCGCUCUGGACCUCCGAGAGAACUAGACCCCACAUUUCCUUUAUCGGUCAGGCGCAGAUGGGUGAGUGCAAACCCACCAAAGAAAUGCAGUGAGAAUCCAGAGGGCACGUGGGUCCCCUCCUCCUGCCUCCUCCCCUCCCGCCUUUGGCCACCCUAUGGAAUGGCCUUUCUGACCAUGGCAUUUAGUGUCUCACCAGAAAACUAGAAUUGUUUUCACGUCUUGCUGGGGGCGGGAUUCGCCUAGGGCUUAACUCUGGAACACAGGUGUAAGAAUAGGGCAGGAGACAAGGAAGCCCCGUCACAUCAAAUGUAAGGUACACCCACGUGUACCCUCGGCCCCUGUUCGCCCACAACCUUUUUUAAGUGUCUCUCCCUAGGCCCUGGGCCUCCUCACCAGCCUACUUGUUGCUCUGGGAAAAAAAAAAAUCAAAACUUGCCCUGAUUGGGGCACUGCUGCUCCCCGCCCUUCCCCCUUUGUCUGGCUCUAGGGAGAGGGAGCAACACGUAGGAAAGAAGGCUGGAGAUGCUUUGGGCUCAUGAUUUAGCUAACCUGAAGUUACUAGGGGUGGCUGACCAACAGAUUCUUUGCAAAUAGUAAGCUGGCCAUGCAAAUAGCUGGGGAGGAGUAGACUUGCCCCCUGCAUGCCUCCUCCCCUGCCCACACAUCCCUUCCCCCUUGCUCACCUCCUGCCUUUUCCCUCUAACCCACUUUCCAUUUCCAGCUCUAGAAGGGCUGCGAAGCUAACAACCAGAGGUUGCAGCUGGAAGCUACUUGCAUGACUGAACCCAGCUUAAGUCCCUAGAGGAAGCUGCUGAAGGUGUUCUCACCUUUCAAGGUUGGGGAAGUAUAGGAGGGGUGAAAGGGCUUCUGUGAAGCUUCCAAACCACUAAAAGGAUCCCCCUUCCCAACAGUGACGGACACAAAAACCACCCUUUUUUUCUUGUAAACUACUGUCAUUCUCCAUGAUUCAGAUGGUGAGUGAAUGAAACGAGGAAGAAGUCACCCACCCUUCCAUAACUCAAUUUGGAUGGCAGCACCAAUCUCUGCAAAUCCUGCUGGAAUGUGGGAGAAGGCUUGGUGAAGUAGAAAGAACAUAUGGUGUCUGCAUUCAGAAGGAUCUGAGUUCAAUCCUUCUUUUGCUAUGAGGUAUACAUCCUGAGUGAGUCUCAGCUCGGCUCAGAGAGGAGCGGGACUGGUAUUUUCACCGUGGGCAACAACACAGUGGAAGCCCCCAUGUGCCUAUCGCUAGGAGCCAUGAUGUAAUGCUGGGGCAGCUACACGCUGGAAUGAUGCUUGUUGAGAGUGAGGCACAUCCAUGUCACAUGUCCAAGACACACGGCCACAGGGAGGGAACCUGGUCCCCCAGCACCAGGUGGAGCUGGCUGAGAGGGAGGGCGCAGGGCCACACCCUCCCGUGGAGCUCCGCCCCCGCACGCCUCCUGCUGCUGCUGCUGCUGCUGCUGCUGCUGCUGCUGCUGCUGCUACUCACGUGGCAGAAGAUCAUGGCUUGAGCAAUGGUGAUGGCCCCGUAGAUAUUACACAAGGCCUGGAACUUCUCAUCUCUGCUACUGCACAGGACGUAAUACUGCUUGAUGGUGUCCAAUGUCUCCUCCUCGCGCUUCAGUUUGAUGAUGUUUGGGUCUGGGACCACCUUCUGGGCAAAUUUCCAGACGGAGUCUUCGAAGGUGGCAGAGAAAAGCAGCAUCUGGCAGUUCCUGGGAAGCAUCCUGCAAGGGAAGGCCCAGGUGUUCGACAUGACCCCGACCGAGUGUUUCACUGGAAGGAACAGAAGCACAGCCUCCCUAGGCUUGGAUGACCUGCGUCCCCAGGGAGGUGGCAAAGCAGGGAGGAGCACCGCAGCGAGGAGGGAGGAGCAGACGUGGGGCGGGGACGGGUGGCGGUAGAGUCCCUAAGUCUCCUUCCUCAACCCAGGCUGGGGGUAUGGUCAGUGCUGACAUGGAAAUGGCCCACCAAACAAAUGCCUCUGAAAGCUGCAGAGUAAAGAACCUGGCAGGGGCAAGAAGAGGAGGGUGAAGUAAAAGGACAUGAUGCUGCAGAUCAGGAGGCCGAGAAGUUCCUCCUGGCUCAAGAGGUCCUACCUCUGGAUGCGGACGCUCUGAUCUUGGUGGCCCUGAGUAGCUAUCAUCACGUCAGCCUCAUCCAGAACAAACACCUUGAUCUUCUUGGGGUCAAUGAACUUGAGCUUGGAGCACCAGUCCAGAACGGUCCCAGGGGUGCCAAUGACAAUGUGCUCACUGAUCUUCUGACCUCUUUCCACUGUGGAGACAAGAUGUAUUCUGUGGGUAUUUCCAUGGCUAAACCCGCUUUCAAAAUGAAAGCCUUGCCCAUCCUUCCAGAGCUAGAACAAGUUAAUUCCAGAUUUCAAAACACAGGGUGUUACCCAAAAGUUUUGUGUUCUUCUACUAUGAAAUGGGCAUAAUGACACCUAUCUCACUGCACUGUGGUCAGGAUUAAAUCCUACAGUCAACCCUCCAUGAGUGUUAGUUUCCCUUUUCCUACUUUCUCCUGUAAUUCCCCAUCACCCAAUUCUUUUUCUUUAGCAUAACACUUAUUCUUUUUAUACCAUCCCUUCACUCAUGGUUCAUUGAUUUCCUUAUAAAUUGGUAGUUUUGAGUCCUAGGAUCCUGGCCCAAUGAUUUUUUGCUUUGUUAGACAUUCUAAUUGUGUAGACAGUUUUCCUAAGUACAAAUUCUCUUUGACUGAAAGAAACACAUUACUCUCAAACUAUAGCUGGUGGGAGUUGAAACUGAUAUAACCAUCUAUCAAAAUUACUAAUGCAUGUAGCCUUUGACCAGUGCUUCCACUAUUACGAAUCAAUCCUGUAUGCACAUGAGUAUGUGUGAAAUAACAUAUAUGCAUGCAUUAAAACAUAACUAAGCAAAAUAUGACACACCAAAUGGAUGACACCAAUCAAAGUAUAGAACUGUUUAGGAACUGAUGUGGAACAAUCUCCAAAAUACAUUAUUAAAUGUGAAAAAGAGGUUGCAGAGCAAUUUGUAUACCAAUAGGGGCAAAAAAGAAUAC